UGGGGAAUAUUGGACAAUGGGGGCAACCCUGAUCCAGCAAUGCCGCGUGUGUGAAGAAGGUCUUCGGAUUGUAAAGCACUUUCGACGGGGACGAUGAUGACGGUACCCGUAGAAGAAGCCCCGGCUAACUUCGUGCCAGCAGCCGCGGUAAUACGAAGGGGGCUAGCGUUGCUCGGAAUGACUGGGCGUAAAGGGCGUGUAGGCGGUUUACACAGUCAGAUGUGAAAUCCCCGGGCUUAACCUGGGAGCUGCAUUUGAUACGUGUAGACUAGAGUGUGAGAGAGGGUUUGUGGAAUUCCC
rnacentral:rRNA from 1 species